UCGGUUUUAAGAGAGAUUUUUUCCAUGCCGACUCUCUGUGGUAAAGAAUGAAAAUGGGCCCUCCAGUUUAAGUGAAGGCUUUCAGCAUCACUAUGUCUCUGAGUAAGUCUGUGCCCUUUAGAAGGAUCUCUGCUCCUCUUGCUUUAAGGAAUGAUGAAAAAUGAGGAGGGGCCUUCAGGUAACUGGAUGUUUGUAAAGGGGUGUGGCCAGCAGGUAGCUCUGCGUGUGUGUGUUUGUAAAGGGGCGUGGCCAGCAGGUAGCUGUGUGUGUGCAUUUGUAAAGGGGUGUGGUCAGGAGGCUGUGUAUGUCCUGUAUAUAAGGAGCGUGGGGGGUGGAGCCUGGCCCAGGUACGGGGGACUCACUUCUGGAUGUGCAGGUGAUGCGGCCACUUCCCUCCCCCAGGCAGGUGCAGUCCACCAUCAUCCAGCCCUGGUACGGCUUCUCCCAGGUCUCGCCCACCACGUAGGACAUGCCCGCGGUGUUGUCAUAGCAGCGCUCCGCUACAGAGAAGGGAGAGGUUGCGUUCACACAGUUCAACAGCAGCACGCCUCCAUGUUGGUCUGAUGGAGGACAAAAUACUCUUCCAGGAAAAUGUGAUUGUGACAGACUCUUAUUGCUGGUCAAACAUUGCAUCAGGUCUUGUGUUUGAAUAGUGGCCAGAUUUGGGAUAAAUGGGAACACUGUUCUGUCAAUGUUUAAAACGAUGUCAAAUAGUCGGCAGGACCCUGAUUUUUCUGAGUAAAAAUCUGCUUUAGAGCCUAACUCA